rnacentral:rRNA from 1 species
GUGGGGAAUAUUGGACAAUGGGCGAAAGCCUGAUCCAGCAAUGCCGCGUGAGUGAUGAAGGCCUUAGGGUUGUAAAGCUCUUUUACCAGGGAUGAUAAUGACAGUACCUGGAGAAUAAGCUCCGGCUAACUCCGUGCCAGCAGCCGCGGUAAUACGGAGGGAGCUAGCGUUGUUCGGAAUUACUGGGCGUAAAGCGCACGUAGGCGGUUACUCAAGUCAGAGGUGAAAGCCCGGGGCUCAACCCCGGAACUGCCUUUGAAACUAGGUAACUGGAAUCUUGGAGAGGUCAGUGGAAUUCCGAGUGUAGAGGUGAAAUUCGUAGAUAUUCGGAAGAACACCAGUGGCGAAGGCGACUGACUGGACAAGUAUUGACGCUGAGGUGCGAAAGCGUGGGGAGCAAACAGGAAUAGAAACCCGAGUAGUCC